AAACAGAGAGGUUUGGUCCUGGCCUUUUUACUAGCUCUUAGUAAGAUUACACAUGUAAGCAUCCCUGCCCCAGUGAAAAUGCCCUCUAGGUCACCCGGAUCAAAAGGAGCAGGUAUCAAGCAAGCAUGAAUACAGCUCAAAACAACUUUGCUCAACCACACCCCCAUGGGAAACGGCAGUGAUAAAUCUUUAGUAAUAAACGAAAGUUUAACUAAGCUAUACUAAUAUUUAGGAUAGGUCAAUUUCGUGCCAGUCACCGCGACCAUAUGAUUAACCCGAGCUGACAGAACUCAGCGUAAAGAGUGUUUAAUUAAGGUCUACCCUCAAUAAAGCUAAACUCCAAUUGAGUUGUAAAAAACUACAGCUGAAAUAAAAUAUACUACGAAAGUGGCUUUAAUACCCUGAAGACACAAUAGCUAAAACCCAAACUGGGAUUAGAUACCCCACUAUGCUUAGCCCUAAACUCUAAUAGUUACAUUGAGAAAACCAUUCGCCAGAGUACUACAAGCAACAGCUUAAAACUCAAAGGACUUGGCGGUGCUUUAUAUCCCUCUAGAGGAGCCUGUUCUAUAAUUGAUAAACCCCGAUACAACCGCCUUGCCACCUCUUGCCCGCAGCCUAUAUACUGCCAUCUUCAGCAAACCCUAAAAAAGUUACAGAGUAAGCACAAGUACACAUAUAAAAACAUUAGGUCAAGGUACAGCCUAUGAGGUGGCAAGAAAUGGGCUACAUUUUCUAUAUCCGGCAAAUCUCACAACAACCUUUAUGAAAUCUAAGGGCUCAAGGAGGAUUUAGUAGUAAACCAAGCGCAGAGUGCUUGGUUGAAUAAGGCCAUGAAGCAUGCACACACCGCUCAUCACCCUCCUCAAAUAUUACUCUAGAAAUCACUAUUACUAAAAACUUUCUAUGCACAUACAGAGGAGAUAAGUUGUAACAUGGUAAGCGUACUGGAAAGGGCGCUUGGACAAACCAAAGU
rnacentral:ncRNA from 2 species